UACGAAGGGCCCAAGCGUUGCGCGGAAUUACUGGGCUUAAAGGGUGCGCAGGCGGACUCGCAAGUACUCUGUGAAAUCCCACAGCUUAACUGUGGAACUGCAGGGUAUACUGCGGGUCUUGAGCCCGGCAGAGGCCAUCGGAACUCUAGGUGGAGCGGUGAAAUGCGUAGAUAUCUAGAGGAACGCCAAAGGUGAAGACAGAUGGCUGGGCCGGUGCUGACGCUCAGGCACGAAAGCGUGGGGAGCGAACGGG
rnacentral:misc_RNA from 1 species